AUGGCCUGGGCCCCUCUACUCCUCGCCCUGCUCGCUUACUGCUCCGGGUCCAACUCACAGCCCACCCUGACUCAACCAUCAUCAGCGUCAGUGUCUCCAGGAAACACCGUGAAACUCUCCUGCACCGUCAGCAGUAGCAUGAACACCAUAGCCUGGAUCCAACAGAAACCUGGGCAAGCCCCUCGCUUUGUGCUGUCUGGUACCACCAACAGAGGCGAUGGGAUCCCAGAUCGGUUCACUGGUUCCACCUCUGGCAAUGUUGGUUAUUUAACCAUCACCAAUGCCCAAGCAGAAGACGAUGCUGAUUAUUACUGUAGGACGUGGACCUCAGGGACCCAGGUAGUUUUGGGAGAAGAAAAUUCUGCCAGACCAGUGCCUGGCUGGGCAAAAUUAGGCGCAGGUGACAACUCAGAGGUGUUUUGAGAGGGUAGCGAAUGCAGCAGGAAGGGCAGAUGAGGGGAACAUAUGGGGAGAGAAAUUCUUAGGCAAUCCCGUACCUAACAAACCGGAGGAGGUAGCAGCAUCUCAGUUAUCAUGGGACAAGCCCA